UGGAGCGCUGGAAUCGGUGGUGAUCGGCAAUUUGGGAGGUGACUUCUCGUCUUCCCGAGUCCUGAAGCUGAGCAUACCUCUUCGCCAUUUUUGGGGGUUUCCGAUACUGUAUUAGGUUAAGUGGCUCACUGUGAGGAGCUCGGCUACAACUCCCAGCAGUUAUUCUUCAUCCGGGAAGCAUUAGCAGCGACAUUCUUCAGUAGCGAAUCAUCAGUUGGGGCAUCCGGAUUUGGAGGAUGUUGGUUCGAGAUGAGCGUCUCGAUGUGGGAAUGGUAUUGG